AAUUUGUCUUUUAAAUGAAGACUAGUAUGAAUGGCGUCACGAGGGCUUAGCUGUCUCCCCUCUAAAGUCAAUGAAAUUGAUCUCCCCGUGCAGAAGCGGGGAUAUGCUCGUAAGACGAGAAGACCCUAUGGAGCUUUAGACUUAUGCAACCCACAUCAAACACCCCCCAAAGGAAACAAACAGGGUGGCCCUUGCUGAAAUGUCUUCGGUUGGGGCGACCACGGGGAAAAACAAAACCCCCACAUGGACAGGGGCCACAUACACCCUAAAACAUAGACCCACAGGUCAAAUCAACAGUACUUCUGACCACCAAUGACCCGGCGCAAGCCGAUUAAUGAACCUAGUUACCC
rnacentral:rRNA from 1 species